rnacentral:lncRNA from 1 species
ACAGGUGUUUUCUUUCUACCUCUAUCUCCACUCUGAACUCUUGAAACAGAACAUUGAUUUGGGACGUCUGCAGCUCUUCUUGCGGGGUACAUGGAUGUGUGUGAUGUGUGCUGACUUAAGCUGAGGGGACCUACCGUAUGAUUGCGUAGGAAGUUGGAGCCCCCCCUUUAUCAUGGAAUUUGGGGCAUCCCUGGUCUCCUGGUGGCUGUGGACUUGCAAAUACCCAGUUGUCCACGGACCUGUUGGCAGAUGGGUGUCCCAAGCGAGGGAGAUAUGCCUGGUGGGAAGGAGGAGUCCUGUGAAGAAUAGAGCCGGAAGUUGGAGCCCCCCCCUUCAUCAUGGAAUUUGGGGCAUCCCUGGUCUCCUGGUGGCUGUGGACUUGCAAAUACCCAGUUGUCCACGGACCUGUUGGCAAAUGGGUGUCCCAAGCGAGGGAGAUAUGCCUGGUGGGAAGGAGGAGUCCUGUGAAGAAUAGAGCCAGCUAAACACUUUCUCCCAGUGGGUGCCUCCUGCAUGAUUAUAGCACAACGGAAACCCAGGAAGCUGUCCCUGGUACAAGGUGUGCCUGGUUCCAUGUUACCCCCUGUGCACAUCUGUGCAGCCGCCUCUGUGAUGGACAUACAGGAC